rnacentral:rRNA from 1 species
AUUGAACGCUGGCGGAAUGCUUUACACAUGCAAGUCGAACGGUAGAGGGGGCAACCCCUUGAGAGUGGCGAACGGGUGAGUAAUAUAUCGGAACGUGCCCAGUCGUGGGGGAUAACGUAGUGAAAAUUACGCUAAUACCGCAUACGCCCUGAGGGGGGAAAGCGGGGGCUUCGUAAGAACCUCGCGCGAUUAGAGCGGCCGAUGCCUGAUUAGCUUGUUGGUGGGGUAAAAGCCCACCAAGGCGACGAUCAGUAGCUGGUCUGAGAGGACGAUCAGCCACACUGGGACUGAGACACGGCCCAGACUCCUACGGGAGGCAGCAGUGGGGAAUUUUGGACAAUGGGGGAAACCCUGAUCCAGCAAUGCCGCGUGAGUGAAGAAGGCCUUCGGGUUGUAAAGCUCUUUUGUCAGGGAAGAAACACCGGCUCUAACACAGUCCGGGAAUGACGGUACCUGAAGAAUAAGCACCGGCUAACUACGUG